UACGGAGGGUGCAAGCGUUAUCCGGAUUCACUGGGUUUAAAGGGUGCGUAGGCGGGCAGGUAAGUCCGUGGUCAAAUCUCUGAGCUUAACUCAGAAACUGCCAUGGAUACUAUUUGUCUUGAAUAUUGUGGAGGUAAGCGGAAUAUGUCAUGUAGCGGUGAAAUGCUUAGAUAUGACAUAGAACACCAAUUGCGAAGGCAGCUUACUAAACAGUUAUUGACGCUGAGGCACGAAAGCGUGGGGAUCAAACAGG
rnacentral:rRNA from 1 species